GGGUGGAUCGAGGCUGAGGUGGUGAAUACAAUCCGGAUAAAACGAGCCGGCUGCGCUCUCAAGGCAGAUGCUAUUCAUGUUCUGACUCCCAAAACUUUCCACCACCGAGAGAUAACACGAGGGCAAUGGAAUAGUCUUCACUUUUGAUUAAAUUCUACUUCAAUGCCACUCUAGGAGCUUGUCACCAUCCAACACAAAGCAGCCAACUGUCUCUGUCAGAAUGUCUUCUGAAGCUAACCUCUGGGAAUAUUGGGAGAGUGUAAUCAAUAGACUACUCGGCAAACUUCAUGACUUUAACCAGUCUGACAUUCUAACACGUACUUCGUUUAUUAUCAUCCUGACAUUCACCAGUGCUGUUCUCCUGUUGAUUUUUAUUCCUGUCAUUUGCUGCUGCUGUACUUGCAAUUGCGGCAAAAGAACUGGCAGAGUGAAACCCACAUCCCAUCCCUAACAGUAUGAAUCCUCAGAUGGACAUGACAGCACACGAGCAAGGGGCCUCCAUGGCAGUGGUGCACAAUGAAGACAGGCUGUAAUGUCCAUUUCUCACACAUCACUUUGUACACAACCAAGAUGGAACAUUGUCACCAUUGUCUGGUCGAAGAUUGUCACCAAUCGUUAGCCCCAAUGUGACAGUUUGUUGGUUGAAUAGCAAAGGACAUCUUAAAACCCUAAACUUGAUAAAUAUAUGCACAUGUACGCAUUCAACUGUUAAAAAAUACGAUAAACCUUUCACAAUUAUUGAAAUCCAUCAAAUACAGUGAAAAUGCUCAUUCUCAUCUUAUUCAAAUGCUUUUCACUAAAUAGCAUUAUUCCUAACAAACCGGUGUUCAUUGCAAAAUUCAAAAGUCUUGACACUAUUGAUUCAAAGUGAUACAGAUAACAACAACAAUGCUGUACACAACAAGAGCAACCUCCAUCCUAGCCACCAACAUAGUAAUCAUCUUCCAAUCAAACAGACCAUCCUGGCCACAGUGGGACUGAAGUUUAUUCAUCUCGAAGUGCAUGAUAUAACCAUAAAUAAAAGGUUAGCUAUCACAACAGCUAAUUUGCUCUGACCCUCAAGUGUGAUUUUUUUUCCUUGCUACCAACAUAACCCAGUUACUGUGGUCUUCCAUAUUCAUGCACGUAAAUAUUAUUUCAAAUCCAUUAGGCAACAUAAGAGCAACCCACGACCACAGUCACCAGUAACAACAGACCUUCUGCCACAACUGGCUUCUGCCACUCUUAAGCCAACUUUCACAGUAUUGUACCUGCUUUUAAAUGCCAACUGACACAAUCUGCAGUCAUUGUUUUUACCUAACUGUCACAAUACUCCACUGAGCACCAUUAAUUGCUGUUUUUUGCCUGGCCUCAUUUACAGGCCUUGAGGAGGAUUGGUACUAAUUGAAUUAUAAAUAAGAAAUAUUAAACAAAGUAUUUAAUAAACUGUUGCAAGUAAA